rnacentral:tRNA from 1 species
UGCAUCGUCCGGGAAUCGAACCCUGGCCGCCCGCGUGGCAGGCGAGCAUUCUACCACUGAACCACCGAUGC